rnacentral:rRNA from 1 species
UACGGGGGGGGCAAGCGUUGUUCGGAAUUACUGGGCGUAAAGGGCUCGUAGGUGGCCAACUAAGUCAGACGUGAAAUCCCUCGGCUUAACCGGGGAACUGCGUCUGAUACUGGAUGGCUUGAGUUUGGGAGAGGGAUGCGGAAUUCCAGGUGUAGCGGUGAAAUGCGUAGAGAUUGGAAAGAACACCGAUGGCGAAGGCACUUUACUGGGCUAUUACUAACACUCAGAGACGAAAGCUAGGGUAGCAAAUGGG